GACGAACGCUGGCGGCGUGCUUAACACAUGCAAGUCGAACGAAAAGGCCCUGCUCUUGUGGGGUGCUCGAGUGGCGAACGGGUGAGUAACACGCGAGUAACCUGUCCUUGUCAUUGGGAUAACUUCACGAAACUCGGGCGAAUAUCGCAUAGGAGCUCCUGCUGCACGGUGGGCGUUGGAGAGAUUCGGCGGUGGGGGAUAGACUCGCGGCUUAUGCGCCAGUUUGUGUGGUAGUGGCUUACCAAGCCUAUGACGGGUAGCCGGCAUGGGAGGGGGGACAGCCACAUGAGGACUAAGAGACGGAGCAGUCUGCAACGGGCGGCAGUGGGCGGGAGUAUUGCGGAGUGGGCCGAAGCGUGAGGCAGCAACGCCGCGUGCGGAAUGACGGGCUUCGGGUGGUAAACCGCUUUCGCCUGUGACGAAGAGGGAUUGACGGUAAUGGGUAAAGAAGCACCGGCUAACUACGUG
rnacentral:rRNA from 1 species